UCUCCUGAUAGGGGCCUCGGCCGUCCACUUCCGUGACAAGUGUGAGCACUCUUCACGCACUUGUUCCGCUCGCUUUCUUGUCUACUCAGUCUUCCUGUCUCUCACCUGAAUUGCUUUCGGAAAGUGAGAACAUCGGCGCACAGAAGGCAGCGGAAAGCCGCACUGUCGUCACCUCAUCGCUCCCUCGAUCUCCCGCACCAAGCUCGUAAAAGGAGGAACUCACCCGCUCGCGGCGCACGUGAGUAUGCCCUACGGCGGCUUCUCGAAGACCCGCUACGGCGACUCCCUGGAGGGGUGGUCCGCCGUGGACAAGGUGGCGAAGUUCAGCCAGGCAGUGGGUCGCGUCAGCGGCGGCCGUGGCACCGCCAUCUUGAUUGCACUGAUAGACGGUAAGGCGCAGCUGAUCGACACGCCCUCGAUCGGGCUGUUGGGUAACUCCGGCAACAACGGCUCCAACCUGAGCCACGGUCUCACCCACUGGCACCGCAGCGACGGCUGUCGCUCAACGCAGCGCGCCCAGCAGCCGAGCAACAGCGGAUGGUGCGCCGGUCGUCCCGGCGCUUCGCGCAGCAGCACAACACCGCAGAGCCCGCCGGCGCUAGGUGUGCUGCUCACCACCUCGUAUGUGCUCCGCAGUCCGCAGGACAUGGCAGACGCUUCCGUGUGCUUCCUCGACCAGCCCAUCGUAGGCAUGGCUGCUUUGCUGGGCCGAGAACCUAAGCCGAUGCAUGUCGGCCUCUGCAGCGCGUUCGGGUUUGUGUCUUCUGUGGCUACCCCAAAGAAGGAGCGCGAGUACACCUGCCGGACAAGCACCGUUGCCACUGCUUGCCGCUCGCGACUGGACGAUGAGCCAGACUACCUCCUCUACGCCGCUGCGGCCGGCGACUCGGAGGAGGAUGAGACCGUGGAGAUCGGGUUCACGCUGACGUACUGCGAAGUCUUUCCCACGCACGACGACGCAACAUACCCGAAGGAGCGGUCUCCGCCGCUGAACCCAUCACAGCCAGGCGGUAGUCACGGGUGCAGUGCGGAAAGUGCCAUGUCAAGCCCCUCUGAGCGCGGGCCUAGCUACGAAGGAGGUGCAGGACUGGGUAAGGAGGCAGAUGGGACGGCGGCGUCCCUCUCCGAGUUUUCGCUGCCUCGAGAACGGGGUGCGAAGGGCGUUGCUUCCGACGCCGCUCACGCCGCCGGUGGCCCUCAGGUGAACCGGCUCGCCUCUGAUGCGGCAAGGAGAAGAUUUAGCGGCGCGCAAGACAGUCUCUGUCAGGUGCAGCCGCUUCACGUACCUCUCUUGCUCUCGGCCAUCCCAGCAAUCAAGGUAGGGGACGUUCAUUUGAUGAUCACCCACGUGAAUGACGGGCGACGGUCCUACCGCGUGCAGCGCGUCGCCGCCGUCUUCGCGGACUACUGCCUGUAUGAGCCGACCAGCUUUGGAGAGGUGACGUGCAGCGGCGGCCCCGUCUUCAAUAUGCAAGGCGACUUCAUCGGGGUGCAACACGAGCGCAACGGCCAGAGCCUUUGCCUGCUCAUUAAGUCCAUCGUGCGGCAUUUGUUUGACGCGGGCCUGCUCGGCAUGUGCCGUGCUCCCAUAUCAGCGGAGACAAUCAAGCAGCGAGAGGUACACGCCCGGCCUGGCGACGCUGUCUUCUCUGCGAUGACCACACGCCUACCGGCGUUUUCCGGUUCGAAUAGGAUGCCGCCGCUGAAGACGAACAAUUGCCCCACCUCCCUGCGCCGCACUGGCGCAGCGGCGGCUAGUGACGGCGCUGAGCGGGGAGGCCACAGCGCGUCGAGCAGCCGACUGCCGGCUGUGCCGCUUGGCUCGAAAAGUCCUGCGACUCUCCGCGCCGAGAGGGACUUCACCGUUGACGCCACUGGAACUACUAUGGCACCUUCCCUUGCCACCAUGUCCAACUUUGGCAGCCCGCGCACGCUCCACGGCCGGCCCGCCGACAGCACCGCCAACUCUUCGUGCAAGAGCGUCCGUCCUGCUGAGGGCGGCGCCGGGGUAGCAGACGCCGUCGCUGCGGCAGCGCUUCCCCUUAUCCCGCCUUCCAAGCCCCUUUCGCAAUGCGUGCCAAGCUUCGAAGAGGUCUUCGCAGAGUUCUUCGACGGCGCUGACAGUCUGCCACACAUACUUUACGCCUUUCCUUACUGCCCGCCGCUCGUGAAGAUCACCAUGGAGAGCCUCGCGCAAGUCAAGUGCGAGGACGAGCUGGAGCGCAUCGUCGCCGUUGGCGGCGUCGGCGCAAUCCUCGAGGCCAUCGACGGGCACCCGCAGGAGGAGCAGAUUGUCACGAGUGCCCUGGCGGCGCUGUGCCGCAUUUGCCUGUGCGAGCGCAACUUAGCCAUCUUUCUGCACCUCGACGGCGUGGUGACCGUGAUGGAGAUUAUGAAGGAGUAUGUGCGCCAGCAGGCCGUGCUGCAGUGGGGCAUUCGCACACUGCUGUGUGCCACCGACAUGUCCUGCCCGUCCGCAGCGGCAUCGGCGGAACUCAUGGUGCGCAGCAGUGCCCCCGAGCUGUUGGUGAACGUCUUGCGCGUUCAUGGCGCCGCGCCGCGCAAGACCGCCACGCGGCAAUCGCAGCCCAACCACCUCAUCCGCUGGGACUGCGACCUCAUCGCGAACCUCCUCAUGGCCAAUCCGCGUCUCACCACGCUGUUCCUGCGAGAGGACUUCCUCACGCUGCUGCUGCAACUCAGCCGCGACGACGCCGACAACGCGUUUCUUAUGGAGGGGUUCGCGCAUGUCUUUUGCGCCUUCGUGCAGUGCUUCACCGAGGAGGAUGAGCCGCCCCCGCCGCACAUCUUGCAGGUGGCACCCGCGCCCGGCUUCAAGCGGCACCCAGCCAUGCCGUCUCCCAACAACUCUCCAGCGCCGCGAUUCCGCGAGCUAAGCGUUCAUGGGGGGGCCAGCAACCCAAACAGAGCGGCCCACUGCAGCGGCGGUGACCAUGUCUGCCGCGGCGGCAGAGAGUCCCCCGCAUCGUCGGCGCCCGCUACGUCGUCGCUCUACUCGCCGAACACCAUCGCAACGAGCCCCCACAAGGUCAGCUUCUUCUUCCUGUGCGACAUCAUGAGCCAUGACACGGAUGGGCGCCUUGCGCGCGCCGUCCUUGACGUCUGCGAGGCCGCGCUUGACCCGAAGAACAGCAUCACGGCGCACCGCGGACGGCCGGAGGUGGUGCUGAUGCGGUGCCUCGAGACACUCCGCCUGCUGCUCACGUGGGGGCUAUUACGGCUUCCGCGCGGCGAGGCAAUGCUGUCGGCGGUCGAGGGCCUCACUGUUCUCGGCUUCGCCUCUACACUGGCGAUGCCGCCGACGUGCUUCUCAGCACCAUCGUCACCGCGGUCGUUGCCCUCAUUCUCGCAGGAUACGGCGCGCUUGCUGCUUAUCUGCCAACGCGUGCGACGCGAGUCAACCUCCUCCAGUGAGCUUGUGGUAAGCGCGGAGGCUGUGCAGCGACUUCUUCUGAGAGGCAGCCGGAUGUCGGGGGUUGUCUGCGCGGGUGCUUAGGUUGAAAGGCUUGUGUGUGUGUGGGCGGGGGAGGGGGCGCUGAUGGCUGUGGUACGGCGUGCGGUAUGGCACCACGAGGUGGCGCGCCGGUGACGAGGAAAGCGACGGUGUGCACGCCGAGAAUGUGCGCGUGUUUUCUGCUCGUGUGCGCCGGUGCUUUCGGCCCCUCUGCCUGUGCACAAUCUCUUCUACUUUUUGUGUUUCACUGGAAUACUCGAUGUUUGAUAGCCAAAAGGAGAGCUGUGUACGCAAGUGCGUGAGGACAGAGGGGUGCUGGUGAUGGAUGAACGGUGAGAGAUGGCGGCAGCUACGACGGCGGCUGUCUUGGGCCGUCUCUUACUACUCCCCCCCUGUGUUUGUGUGCGUGUAUGUACCGCUCACGGCCUUUUCCUUCUCACAUGGCGGCGGCUGUCGCUUUUGCAGUGCCGGAAGCAAAAAAGAGGCCCGAACGGCAGCCAUGCCAGCUGUGAACCUACACACCAUCGCACUCCUGCGAAAGGGGGGGGUGCAUUGGGGACCCCACUGCCCUCUUCGUCCUCUUACGCCCACCCCCUCCCUCCCGUUUGAUCUUCUCCUCCCGCCUAUCGAAUCCGGUGCCUGCGUUUGCUGAGGCGAGUGGGUGGGUGGGUGGCGGGCGAGGGUGUGGUGAUUCACAACGCGGCGGUGGACUCGCAUUCAUGCGACUGAAAGCCUACCUUGGUCGUUGCGUGCGAAUGCACCCUGUGCGCAUGCUGGUGAGAUGGGAAUGGCGCUCGUUAGGGCGUGAGUUCCGUGACAGGACCUUCAUGCUCGAGUGAGCUCUGCGUGUGUCGCACACAUUCACACAGGCGCCUUCACUUGGCACGCUGCCACCUUGCUGCAUCGAAACCAGAAAAGUCGCCUCUUCUUUUAGUGCUGUCAUGUUUUUCCCGCCCUCUCCCUUCUCAUUCUUCCGAUCUGCUCCGCAUCCCAUCGCAUACAUGCGGAUGAUCUCACGUGCCCCUAACUUCAUCUCCCCCCUGCGCACUUACGUGUAAACCCUCUCUUUCUGCACGUGGCAUGCUUCUCUCCUUGCGUGCGCUGACACACAUCCGGUCCCUCUCCCCCAAACACACACACACACACACACGCACACGCCAAUGGUGCGCGCCUUUCUUCCACCGCCUCCGCUGUGCAUGCGCGUUGUGCUGUGCGCGCCACAG
rnacentral:misc_RNA from 1 species